rnacentral:lncRNA from 1 species
AUGGUGGUGGUGGUGGCCAUGAUUAUGUGGUUGUCUAGGUGAUAGUGGUGGUGCUGAUAAUUGUAGUAGUAAAUGAUGAUGGAUGUUAACAAUAGUGGUGGUGUGUUGAGGCCUCUUUAGGAGUAGGAAAAUAAUAAAAAGAAAAAAGAAAUAAAAAGUUGAAAUUUUUUCUCAAAAAUGGUAAGGUAUUUGAUUACUUGAGAAUAGUGGCCAAUGGCAUUA